UACAGAGGUGGCAAGCGUUGUUCGGAAUUACUGGGCGUAAAGGGCGCGUAGGCGGCCAUCUAAGUCAGACGUGAAAUCCCCCGGCUUAACCUGGGAACUGCGUCUGAUACUGGAAGGCUUGAGUAUGGGAGAGGGAUGUAGAAUUCCAGGUGUAGCGGUGAAAUGCGUAGAUAUCGGAAGGAACAUCGGUGGCGAAGGCGACUUCCUGGACCAAUACUGACGCUCAGGUGCGAAAGCGUGGGGAGCAAACAGG
rnacentral:rRNA from 1 species